rnacentral:rRNA from 1 species
UACGGAGGAUCCAAGCGUUAUCCGGAUUUAUUGGGUUUAAAGGGUGCGUAGGUGGCUUUUUAAGUCAGGGGUGAAAGACGGUAGCUUAACUAUCGCAGUGCCUUUGAUACUGAAGAGCUUGAAUAAACUAGAGGUAGGCGGAAUGUGACAAGUAGCGGUGAAAUGCAUAGAUAUGUCACAGAACACCAAUUGCGAAGGCAGCUUACUAUGGUUUUAUUGACACUGAGGCACGAAAAGCGUGGGGAUCAAACAGG